GAUGAACGCUGGCGGCGUGCCUAAUACAUGCAAGUCGAGCGAAUGGAUUAAGAGCUUGCUCUUAUGAAGUUAGCGGCGGACGGGUGAGUAACACGUGGGUAACCUGCCCAUAAGACUGGGAUAACUCCGGGAAACCGGGGCUAAUACCGGAUAACAUUUUGAACCGCAUGGUUCGAAAUUGAAUGGCGGCUUCGGCUGUCACUUAUGGCUGGACCCGCGUCGCAUUAGCUAGUUGGUGAGGUAACGGCUCACCAAGGCAACGAAGCGUAGCCGACCUGAGAGGGUGAUCGGCCACACUGGGACUGAGACACGGCCCAGACUCCUACGGGAGGCAGCAGUAGGGAAUCUUCCGCAAUGGACGAAAGUCUGACGGAGCAACGCCGCGUGAGUGAUGAAGGCUUUCGGGUCGUAAAACUCUGUUGUUAGGGAAGAACAAGUGCUAGUUGAAUAAGCUGGCACCUUGACGGUACCUAACCAGAAAGCCACGGCUAACUACGUGCCAGCCGCCGCCGUAA
rnacentral:rRNA from 1 species